UGUUUUGCUGAGGCUUUCAUCCCUAAAUAAACCAGUGGAAGCCCAGCUGCUGUUCGUCUGUGCUCAGCGUGUUUGUCUCUCGCCUCACUGGAGCGGACGGCGCGUCGACGGGCCGCGUGUUUACCCUCCACCGCAGAUCGUGGCCGCAGCGAUGGGCCGGCUGUGUUUGAAGCCGGUCCUGGACGGAGACGGGAAUGAGAGCAUGAGCUUGUUGGUGCCGAGGUCGAUGGAUCAGAGGGGGAGCAGAUGGAGGCUGCUGCUACAACCCCCCUCUGUCCCUUUUCAUCGUGGCAAAGGUCGGAAUCAGGUUGGGAAUGGCUGCCGACCCCGAGCAGGAGGCAUUCCAGCAUUCCUCUGCGGUCAAAAUCAGAGCAAACGAAGCCCCUCCCUGGAGAUCAAGGCGCCGCCAGAUGUCAGAGGAAGCUGCGGUUUGUGAAAAGCUGAGCACCUGCUUCCACGCAGAGGAAAUACAGUACAGUAGCUUGUGAGAAGUGCAAACCCAUCUGCUUCAUUUCUGGGAACAGUUUGUUUGUGUUCUCCUUUAAAAUGUAAUUCAGUUUAAACUCAUGUGUGCAAACUAAAAAGGAAGUCUGGUUAAUUAGCAUGAUGCAGAUCUCGGCAGAAAUCAGGGCGUAGCGGAAAUAAAACCCAACACUUGAACUGUCCAGGUGUAAAACAGGGCAGAGUUGCUUGAACUUCCUACGUUUGACAUAAUGUAGCAGUAAAUGUUGAUCUGAAUCUGGCAGCACAUUAUCAGCCCAUCUGUCUCUUGAUGUCUGUGUUUGACAGUCGCUCCGCUUCUUGUGGAAACCUCCAGGCCAGAACAUUAUGGAGCCCCUAAUGGACCUUUCUAAUGGGUUUCAGAAAGAGAAAAUAUAAAACAUAUCACUGCAACGUAGCCCCGUAUGUUUCAGCUUCGGUUCAGUUUUAACAAGAAUCUUCAUAAUCUGAAGCUUUCAGUUAUCACUGAGCGUUUUCCCUCCUGGUUUCUUCUGUUCGAUCUUUAGUGGGUUUGACUGAUAUGAGAUGUUUGGGUUUCCUGUUCCGGAUGUAAACAUGAUGAUGCUCAGAACGCUGGCAGCUGCCUUUCAGCUUAUCACCAACAGCGAUCUAUGCAGAACAGACACCUUUGAGUCACGUAGACAUCAGGAAACGCUUAAAAACGGAAGCAGAUCGAUGAUAAAUGAAGUUAAUAUCACUUAAAUUAUUAACUUCUGCCCUUUCUGUCAUAAACUUCAACAUUUUAUUAGAGAACCUUAGAGCUUGAGAUGUUGCUUUUGUGAUAACCGUUUGAAAGCAACAAGGUGAAUAUUUAGAUUUCCUGAUCAGAUAUGACUUUAAAUACCAGUGCUCUUGAUGUUUAAGGUAAAGUUAUGUAGCACAUUUUCAGGAACAAGGAAGUUCAAAGUGCUUUGCAUCAUAAAACACAAGAAUACAAGAAUUGAUUUCUUGGGCAGAACUGUGAAGAUACAGUUGCAGUAAUCGAUGCGCCUAAAGAUGAACACAUGGAUGAGUUUCUAGAUCUUGUUGAGACAUUAAUCCUCUCAUCCUGGAAAUGGCCUUCAGGUGACAGAAGGCCGACUUUGCAACUGUCUUUAUGUGGCUCUGAGGGUUCAGGUCAGAGUCCAUCACUACUCUUCUCUCUUAUGAAAUGCUUUCCAUUUUCUGUUUAUUUUAUCUGUUAAAUGAUACAGAAAUCACUCCAUUCAGUUAAAAUUUGUACAUUUCCUUUGACUUUUAAAAUUUGCUUUUCACUUUCUUCAACAAUUUGGAGUAUUUUACCAGUUUAAAUAUUAAAAAGCACCCAGCUUCACCCUGUAACUGUCAGAUCAGCUUCCUCCACGCGUCUUUGAAGAAACGACAUUGAUGUCCAUGAACCGUUUCUUGCUCCUCUGGUCGUUUAAAAUAAAAACAUAAAACAAC